GCACUUUCCAACUGUAAUCUACAUUAUUGGACAUGCAUCCUUGAUGUGUUAUUCAUGUGUGAAUUCACCCUGGGAUGUAUGAGCAGGUAAUAUGAGUUCUCUGUGUUGCCAUUUUGUGCCACCACAAUCUGAUCGAGGCAUCGUGCAGCCACCUGUGAUGUCUGCAUGAAAGCUGAUAAUCCAACUUGUCACAUGACACAAUGUGUUGAAUCAUCUGAGACAAAGCCUGGAAGCAAUGAGGAAUAACAUAACAGCAUUUAUGUAAAAAAGAAUGCCCAGUGAGGGCUGGGCGGUCUUACUUGCC